rnacentral:ncRNA from 1 species
GGCAACAAAGUGAGGCCUGUCUCCACAAAAUAAAACAUUUUUAAAGCAGGACGGUGGCCAUGGAAGUCGGAAUCCGCUAAGGAGUGUGUAACAACUCACCUGCUGAAUCAACUAGCCCUGAAAAUGGAUGGGGCUGGAGCGUCGGGCCCAU